ensembl:lncRNA
AAAUGGGAUAUGCUGUACAGACAAUACACCCAUUCCUCGGAGCUGAAGGAAAGGUGGGAUUGGAACAGGAGACAGGAUUCCUGCUCUUCCAGGGAGAGUGAGUGGAAUUCUACGGAGUGAGGAAGUGGCCUUCUUAUCACGAUUUUACCAAAUUGUGGGAUCCAAUAUGAGCAGCUUUGGAACUGAAAGACUUCUUGUCCUCAAAUACCACUUGGGUGGCACAGCUGGCUAAAGUCAUCUUUACUGAUUUCUGUCUCGGGAUUCAGGGUGGAAGCUCGUGAUGUUAGCAGGGAAUCCGCCACAGUGCUUGCCUAGCACACAAUCCCGGAUGAAGAGGAACCUUCAGCGCCCCCGACCCCAAACACUCUGAGCUAGAAUCCUAUAAGGCUCCAACCAUUUUUGCCUUUUCCUGUGAUUAGAGAAGUGAUUCUUUGAGAAUCUCAUACCUGAACACCAUGAAAGAGGAUCACGUCCGUUCUUCUACUUUUUAUUGUCAGAUUCUCCACUUUCCUGAUUAUUUAAUGUUCAAAGGAAAAGAGUUGCUAAUUUAUUUUUUUUACCUGAAAACAUUUAUAUGUAUCAGAUACAUGAAUGGGUUUGGAUGUUUUUGUUGGUAUUUCUAUAUUUAAGUUUCCAUUUUGCGUGUUCUGGGUCUUGUUUCCUUCGAAUGUCCUUAAUUUCAGUGAACGUGUCUACACGCACACAACCAAGUAAGACGUAAUCUUCGUCUCUGUGGAAAAGCCCUAGAUUCUAAGUUUAUUUACCGUUUUUGGAUGGAAGGAUACAAAAGCAAUUUUAGAAAAAUUUCUUCUUUUUUCUUGCCGCACACUAUUCUUUGUAAUCCUGGGUUUUUGGUAUGCCUUUUACCCAUAGGCACCAACAAUCACUCCAAGGAAAAUAUUGGCUUUACUUUAUUUUUGACAGCUAUACAGCUACACAUGUAUAGACUUACUUAGCAAUUUUCAAUUAAAAUAUUAACUUCACAAAUUCCCCCUCCAACACCUCCUAUGCCCCCUCUCAAAUUCAUGACCUCUUUUGAAUUAUUACUUUACACACAUAUAUAGGUAUAUGAAUAAACAUAUAAAUACAGACUGG